GGACCAAACCACCUUGGCGAUUAGGUCAACUCUUAACCUAAUCGGGUCAAACCUAACUGAAUCCAAUUCAAUUGGACUUGAUCCAAAAAUAAUUACUCAAUUAAAUUGAGUUAAUUAGUAAUCAAAUCACUAAUUAAAUCUCUCAUAAAUACUGAGUCCAAAUUCGAUGGGCAAUCAGGCAUCAAAGUCCAUCGAUAUGAAACCUUGAUCGAAGAGUCCCAAACCAGUGGGACUCU
rnacentral:lncRNA from 1 species